rnacentral:rRNA from 1 species
UGAAUACGAAAUGCUACGGCAUUGAAGUGAUCUAUGCCAAGCUUCCAAGAAAAUCUCGUCAUAUCUUAAACAGUAGAUGCCUGUACCUUAAACCGACACAGGUAGGUAGGUAGAGUAUACCAAGGGGCGCGAGAUAACUCUCUCUAAGGAACUCGGCAAAAUAACCUCGUAACUUCGGAAGAAGAGGUACCCUUGAAAAAGGGUUGCAAUAACCAGACCCUGGCGACUGUUUACCAAAAACACAGGUCUCCGCUAAUUCGUAAGAUCAAGUAUGGAGGCUGACGCCUGCCCAGUGCCGGAAGGUUAAAGAAGUUGGUCAAUCUUUGGAUAAAGCUGGCGACUGAAGCCCCGGUGAACGGCGGCCGUAACGAUAACGGUCCUAAGGUAGCGAAGUUCCUUGUCGGGUAAGUUCCGACCCGCACGAAAGGCGUAACGAUCAGGGUGCUGUCUCGGAGAGAGACUCGGCGAAAUAGACAUGUCUGUGAAGAUGCGGACUACCUGCACCUGGACAGAAAGACCCUAUGAAGCUUUACUGUAUCUUGGAAUUGGGUUUGGGCCUUGCUUGCGCAGGAUAGGUGGGAGGCUAUGAAAAUGCUCUUGUGGGAGUAUUGGAGCCAACGGUGAGAUACCACUCUAGUAAGGCUAAAAUUCUAACUCUGAACCGUUAUCCGGUCAGAGAACAGUUUCAGGUGGGCAGUUUGACUGGGGCGGUCGCCUCCUAAAAGGUAACGGAGGCGCGCAAAGGUUCCCUCAGGCUGGUUGGACAUCAGUCGUAGAGUGUAAAGGCAUAAGGGAGCUUGACUGCGAGACCCACAAGUCGAGCAGAGACGAAAGUCGGCCUUAGUGAUCCGACGGUUCCACGUGGAAGGGCCGUCGCUCAACGGAUAAAAGUUACUCUAAGGAUAACAGGCUGAUCUCCCCCAAGAGUUCACAUCGACGGGGAGGUUUGGCACCUCGAUGUCGGCUCAUCGCAUCCUGGGGCGGUAGUACGCCCCAAGGGUUGGGCUGUUCGCCCAUGAAAGCGGUACGCGAGCUGGGUUCAGAACGUCGUCAGACAGUUCGGUCCAUAUCCGGUGCAGGCGUUAGAGCAUUGAAAGGAGUCCCCCUUAGUACGAGAGGACCGGGGGGAAUACACCGCUGGUGUACCAGUUAUCGUGCCAACGGUAAACGCUGGGUAGCCAUGUGUAGCGUGGAUAACUGCUGAAAGCAUCUAAGUAGGAAGCCCACCUUAAGAUGAGUGCUCUCACCGCUAUAAGCGGGUAAGGUCACGGUAAGAACAACCGUUAUAUAGGCAUUAAGUAUACAUGCAGUAAUGCAUUUAGCUGAGAUGUACUAACAGACCGAGGGCUUGAUAAG